AAGAUUUGAAGGGUGAGAGAAGAGUUGCAAAAUCACGAACACCGAGGGCGGUGUGAGAAAGCCAGCUUCCUGCACACUGUUGUAGGUGUUAGUGAGAUUAUCAAUUGCUCCGGGAGAGAAGCGGGGAUGGAGGGCUUAGGGAGCGUGGUAGUCCCUCCCUUCGCUCUUUCUGCACCCUGAGAUUGUGCUUUCCCAGGGAUAUACACUCUGCGCUUGCAUUUCUGCAGUGAAAUUAACUCAAGCUCGGCAGUCUCCUCUUCCAGCGACCUCCCACCUGAUGGUGCAACAUGGCAGACUAGACGGCCCUGCCCUCUCUGGUUCCUAAUGAGGAAAAGCUAAGAAAGGGCAGGUCACGGCCA
rnacentral:lncRNA from 1 species